CAGGCUGGUAUGGCCGUAAGCAAUGGUAGAGCAUGCACGCACGCCAUUUAUAGAUGGUAAAACACCAGCAAGGGUGGAAGGCAAACGGUCAGCUGUCAUUUUCCUGCUCUCAACAAGCGCCAUGACAAGACCCACACGGCAUUUAGUUUUGAGUUAAUGCACAUAUACUCACUGACAAAUUUAAAAAAAAAAAAAAAAACAACAAAAAGGAAAAAAAGGAGAGAUUGUCCACUGGUGCUGUUUUCCAAGG
rnacentral:rRNA from 1 species